UAUUUUUAAAAUGGUAACAAAGGAGUAAUCCGUUUUCAAAAUCAAAAGUCAUAUUUUAUUGUAUUCAGUAAAUCCACUAUUGUGCUAUAAGAGUAUGUAUUAUCUCAUGACCUAAAGCUCUAGGUUUGUUCAAUCUUUCCGUCUUUGAGUUUAUUUUAUUGAAUUUGAACUCCACUACAAUGAUAAAUAAUAACAAAUAUAUCAUGUUUGUACUUUACAGUAAUAGUUUUCAUAUCUGCGUUUUUGGAUAUCACUGUAGAUGCGGCUGGUUGUAAAAAGUACAACGAAACAUGUGCUGGUACAUUUGGAGUGAACGAGUGCUGUAAAAGUGAAGACCUUGUCUGCACGGUUCAACGCAAUACAAAGAACACUUAUCGUUGCAGUAUCCAACCCAGUAGUCCUGAAGUGUUUUAAAGGAUUUAGAAGAAUAUUGUCAAUCGCAUGACAUGAAGAAGAGCGGCUUCUGCAGGCGGUCAAAUGGGAUCGCGGAGAUCAUCAACUGGCCUUUUGUCAUCGCUCUCGUCAUCUGCCUUUGACACCGGAUUUGUCUUGCGGUUUUGCUAUACCUUUGUGCACAGGCUAUACAAGAAAACAAUUAAUCUUUUUACAGUUCAUGUUA